GGGGUCGUAGCCUAGUCCGGUAGGGCGACAGUGACGACCCGUAGGUCGCCGGUUCGAUUCCGGUCGGCCCCA
rnacentral:tRNA from 1 species